GACGAACGCUUGCGGCGUGCCUAAGAAAUGCAAGUCGAGCGGGGUGUAGCGAUACACCUAGCGGCGAACGGUCGCGUAACACGUAAGCAACCUGCCGAAAAGACCGGGACAACAUCUCGAAAGGGGUGCUAAUACCGGAUGUGGCCAUCUUCUCGCAUGGGAGGGUGAUUAAACCGCGCUAGCAAUAGUGGCGGCUUUUCGAGGGGCCCGCGGCCUAUCAGCUUGUUGGUGGGGUGANGGCCUACCAAGGCGACGACGGGUAGCCGGCCUGAGAGGGCGACCGGCCACACUGGGACUGAGACAUGGCCCAGACUCCUACGGGAGGCAGCAGUGGGGAAUCUUGCGCAAUGGGCGAAAGCCUGACGCAGCGACGCCGCGUGAGGGAUGACGGCCU
rnacentral:rRNA from 1 species